rnacentral:rRNA from 1 species
AUUGAACGCUGGCGGCAGGCCUAACACAUGCAAGUCGAACGAGUGGCGGACGGGUGAGUAAUGUCUGGGAAACUGCCUGAUGGAGGGGGAUAACUACUGGAAACGGUAGCUAAUACCGCAUACCAUCAGAUGUGCCCAGAUGGGAUUAGCUAGUAGGUGGGGUAAAGGCUCACCUAGGGGAAGAUCCCUAGCUGGUCUGAGAGGAUGACCGGCCACACUGGAACUGAGACACGGUCCAGACUCCUACGGGAGGCAGCAGUGGGGAAUAUUUGACAAUGGGCGCAAGCCUGAUCCAGCCAUGCCGCGUGAGUGAAGAAGGCCUUCGGGUUGUAAAGCACUUUCAUCGGGGAAGCGGUACUCACAGAAUAAGCCACGGCUAACUCCGUGCCAGCAGCCGCGGUAAUUC